CUUGUUUUCUGCCUCCACCGGAGAAAAAUGGGUCCAAACCAUUGGCUUUUCCUCCCCUCUUUUGCUUCACCUGUGAAGGUUGUUACGCUCUUUUCCUACAAUCAGGACCAUCAGUUUCAAACUGUCCGUCCCUCUGUCCAUCCAUCCGUUGUCCUUUUUCCGCACUUACAACCAAAGUUUGUUUUUCUUUUUCUUCUUCCUCCCUACACUCCAAAGUUGAAGGAGGAGGGGAGAAUGGAACCUCGUCGUACGUGUGUGGAACAGAGAGAUGCCCGUCUUUUCUUUUAUUUUUUUUUUUUUUUGCGCUGCGUAGUUAUAACAACGACUGGGCGCAGACUAGAGUGGCGUCGUAUAUCGCACAAUGGCAUCGGUUUUCGAAUUUCGCGCUACAAGAAACUCCGGCCCCAAUGCCCCCAUGUUUCUCCUUUUUGCUGUGGCUGGGCUGUAUAUCGUCUGGCCAUUUCCUGUGCGAAAAUUUGAUUUAACCAUCAACAAAUGAGAAAUGAAUUUUAAACAUUUUUGCCCGCGCUAACGGCCUAUUGGUUGAAACUCUCUCACAUCCUCGUGCGUUUUGUGCGUACACGACCUUCUAUUCUCCUCUUUUUUUUUUUUUGUCUCUGUGAUUCCCUCCGACUGAUAAAAGAUUAUUGUCUUCUUUUUUUUCUUCUCUUCUUUGGGACAAAAAAAUAAAUAAAUAAAUAAA